rnacentral:rRNA from 1 species
AUUGAACGCUGGCGGCAUGCUUUACACAUGCAAGUCGAACGGCAACGAGGAGAAGCUUGCUUCUCUGUCGGCGAGUGGAGAACGGGUGAGUAUAGCAUCGGAACGUGCCAAGUAGUGGGGGAUACCCAAACGAACGUUUGGCUAAUACCGCUUAAGCUCCAAGGAGGAAAGUAGGGGAUCUAAACAAGGCCUUACGCUAUUUGAUCGGCCGAUGUCGGAUUAGCAAGUUGGUGGGGUAAUGGCUCACCAAGGCAAUGAUCCGUAGCGGGUCUGAGAGGACGAUCCGCCACACUGGGACUGAGACACGGCCCAGACUCCUACGGGAGGCAGCAGUGGGGAAUUUUGGACAAUGGGGGAAACCCUGAUCCAGCCAUGCCGCGUGUAUGAAGAAGGCCUUAGGGUUGUAAAGUACUUUUGUUAGGGAAGAAAAGCUAGUUUUUAAUAAAAAUUAGUGAUGACGGUACCUAAAGAAUAAGCACCGGCUAACUACGUG